GAACACAUGUGAGAACACCUUUUGUCCUCAAGAGGCAAAGCAGAAGCAAGUGCUAAGGAGCUGCAAGUGCCCUGGGGUGGGGUCUGGUCCGCCUGCCUGGAGCUUCUUGGGGCAGAGGAGUUGGAGUGUGCACUGAGCUGGCCUGUUCAGCAGCCUCCUAGCAUUAAGAUAGGGUCUCCAAGAGCUCGGGUGCUUUGCUUCACACCAGUUGCACGUGGUUGUUCUGCCACCAAGAUGGAGAACUGCAGCUUUCCCCCAGCAUAUUCACAUUGCAGUAGACAGCACAAUUCUGUACUUACAGAUCUUAACAGUGAAAUGUCUCAGGAUCUUUACAAUUUUCUGCAGAACUGUUUCAAGCUCUCAGCAAGGCACAGUGUUCAUCGAGGCAGAACGGAGCCGUAUGGAAGGUCUAUGCAGCUGGGAGAUAAUGGAACUAUUUUCCCAGCUGGGACUACAAGCCUUUUAUCCACUGAGCAUUGCGUGUCUCUUCACUGGUAUUAACCGUGAAAUACACUGCUUUCCUGCUGCACUCGUGCUAGGACCCACACAAUUAGUGCUUGAAGCAGAUAAACAGCUACUAUAGUUCAUGCAUAUUCCUAUCUGGAAAUCUUAAACGUAUAAAAAUUAGCUCUGCACUGAUCAUCCUUCAAGCAAGCUGAGAGAGUGAAAGCACAGCUGUCGUACUAGUAGCAUAAAAGAUUAAAUGUUCUCUUGCUAUUCUUUUUGUACAAAUAUGAGCUCCUGUCAGGUAAUCAGAAAACCUCUCUCCCUGAUAACUGGGUCACUACCCAGUAUUGUGUUUAAAAUAGGAAUGGAAAUAAUUUUGUUUAGUGCUGGGUCCCACAAUUGCUUCUUGAGCUCCAUAGGAGGAAGCCCAUAGGAUGCGAGCUAGCUGACAGUCACUGCAUCCCAGCACUGACUGUCCUCCCAGAACGUUUUACUACCCCAUCAUAUUUUGCAUAUUCAAAAAAAAAAAAAAAAAAGGAGUUGUUUGAAGUAGUACAGACAUAAAUCCUGAUUACACACAAACUUCAAACCUUCUUAGAUUCCCAUUUUUCCUCUUGAGACUGUUUCAGCAGAGAUCAAAUGCAAAGCUCAGACAGGGGAAUGCCUUUCUGUUAGUAAGCAAAAGUUAUUUGUAUUCACAGGGGAAGGAAGUGGAAAGAGCAGUUUUCAGAAUGUUUCUGCCAAGAAAAGUGCAAUUGUAUCACAGGCGUUGUUUCACCACGUUUUAAUGUAAUCUUGGUGUAAAUCCAUUAGUUUGUAAUGGGAUUAAUUGCAUGCCUGUCUGAGCAAUGGCAAGUAGAGA